rnacentral:telomerase_RNA from 1 species
CGCGGUUUUUGACGAUGUGCUUUGUCCGCGGAUUCACGCCCUUGACUCCAAUCUCGGUUGGUCUCGAGAGGUAACAAAGACUGUC